GCCCUACUAGUGCAGUGGUAAGCACACCUGACAGCUUGUCUUUCCGGUUCCCUGGGCACUAUCUUUGUGUUGGGAAUAAAUCCGAUGUGAUCAUUAGGUUCUCUUGGUUCGAUUCCGAGGUAGGGUU